GACGUAGGGCGCAAGCGUUGUCCGGAAUUAUUGGGCGUAAAGAGCUCGUAGGCGGCCUGUCGCGUCGGAUGUGAAAAUCCAAGGCUCAACCUUGGACCUGCAUUCGAUACGGGCAGGCUAGAGUUCGGUAGGGGAGACUGGAAUUCCUGGUGUAGCGGUGAAAUGCGCAGAUAUCAGGAGGAACACCGGUGGCGAAGGCGGGUCCCUGGGCCGAUACUGACGCUGAGGAGCGAAAGCGUGGGGAGCGAACAGG
rnacentral:rRNA from 1 species